rnacentral:tRNA from 10 species
GCCCCUAUAGCUCAGUUGGUAGAGCUACGGACUUUUAAUCCGCAGGUCCCAGGUUCGAGUCCUGGUGGGGGCACCG